AAGGCGGGACGGGCGACCGCGGGUGACAUUGCCUUUACGGCAAUGUUGCCUGAGGAAAGUCCGGCCUCCACAGGGCAGGACGCUCGUCAAGACUGGCGACGGAAGUUCGCCAGUCAAGGCGAGGAAGUUGCUCUGGCUUAUGCUGGGGCAACUUCGGAAAGUGCCACAGAAACUAUACCGCCGUCAGGUUAAGCGGCACCGUGGCUUUUGCUGCCAGCCGCUGCGGUGUUUGCGUUUCCUGACGGUAAGGGUGAAAAGGUGGGGUAAGAGCCCACCAGCACGACCGCGAGGUCGUGGCUGGGUAAACCCCGCCCGGAGCAAGACCAAAUAGGGGGGCGCUAUCAGGU
rnacentral:RNase_P_RNA from 1 species